rnacentral:rRNA from 1 species
CGUACACUCCUACGGGAGGCAGCAGUGGGGAAUAUUGGACAAUGGGCGCAAGCCUGAUCCAGCCAUGCCGCGUGAGUGAUGAAGGCCCUAGGGUUGUAAAGCUCUUUCACCGGUGAAGAUAAUGACGGUAACCGGAGAAGAAGCCCCGGCUAACUUCGUGCCAGCAGCCGCGGUAAUACGAAGGGGGCUAGCGUUGUUCGGAUUUACUGGGCGUAAAGCGCACGUAGGCGGACUAUUAAGUCAGGGGUGAAAUCCCGGGGCUCAACCCCGGAACUGCCUUUGAUACUGGUAGUCUUGAGUUCGAGAGAGGUGAGUGGAAUUCCGAGUGUAGAGGUGAAAUUCGUAGAUAUUCGGAGGAACACCAGUGGCGAAGGCGGCUCACUGGCUCGAUACUGACGCUGAGGUGCGAAAGCGUGGGGAGCAAACAGGAUUAGAUACCCCUGUAGUCCCA